GAUUAAUGAGUAUGGGCGCAGAGACAAUGGGCUGAAAUAAUGUAACGUAACGCUCUAUGGAAGGGCAGAAAAACGUUUGAAAAUCACAGGUAGGCGCACGAUUGGCUACGCAGGAUAACGUAACCCCCGGAUGUUUUUUUUUAAUCAAGGGGCAUAAAAAGCGGAGCCCAAAACGGUUCAGGUCAGUUCUCCUCUUCAACAGCUUGGUCGCCAGCGGGAGCACCGUCCUGCCUCCUCGAGCCACUCGCAGCAUCCGUGUGAUGCCAGCGAGUGCUGCUACAGUGAUAAGCAAGGUUUUUUCGUCAUUCUCCUUCCGACUCUCACAGUGUCUGUGUGACGCCGUGAGUACAGUUGCGAGAGUGCUUCCAGUCACUACACCCCUGACUAAAGCCACCGACCUUGCUGGAGAAUAGUUUGCAUGCAAAACAGUACACACAACCUUUUGAGGGAGCCAAGAGACUGAAUCAUUACCCUUGGGACUCCUCCAGAAACAACAAAAAUCCACUACGUGUGGCCACGUGGAAUGUUCGAACGCUCACUGCGGAGG